AGUGGACGCUGGCGGUAGGCCUAACACAUGCAAGUCGAACGGCAGCACAGUAAGAGCUUGCUCUUACGGGUGGCGAGUGGCGGACGGGUGAGGAAUACAUCGGAAUCUACUUUUUCGUGGGGGAUAACGUAGGGAAACUUACGCUAAUACCGCAUACGACCUACGGGUGAAAGCAGGGGAUCUUCGGACCUUGCGCGAUUGAAUGAGCCGAUGUCGGAUUAGCUAGUUGGCGGGGUAAAGGCCCACCAAGGCGACGAUCCGUAGCUGGUCUGAGAGGAUGAUCAGCCACACUGGACCUGAGACACGGUCCAGACUCCUACGGGAGGCAGCAGUGGGGAAUAUUGGACAAUGGGCGCAAGCCUGAUCCAGCUAUGCCGCGUGGGUGAAGAAGGCCUUCGGGUUGUAAAGCCCUUUUGUUGGGAAAGAAAAGCAGCAGGUUAAUACCCCGCUGUUCUGACGGUACCAAAGAAUAAGCACCGGCUAACUUCGUG
rnacentral:rRNA from 1 species